rnacentral:rRNA from 1 species
UACGUAGGGCGCAAGCGUUAUCCGGAAUUAUUGGGCGUAAAGAGCUCGUAGGCGGUUUGUCGCGUCUGCUGUGAAAGACCGGGGCUCAACUCCGGUUCUGCAGUGGGUACGGGCAGACUAGAGUGCAGUAGGGGAGACUGGAAUUCCUGGUGUAACGGUGAAAUGCGCAGAUAUCAGGAGGAACACCGAUGGCGAAGGCAGGUCUCUGGGCUGUAACUGACGCUGAGGAGCGAAAGCAUGGGGAGCGAACAGG